rnacentral:rRNA from 1 species
AUACGGAGGGAGCGAGCGUUAAUCGGAAUUACUGGGCGUAAAGCGCGCGUAGGCGGCUUUGUCAGUCGGAUGUGAAAGCCCUGGGCUCAACCUGGGAAUGGCAUUCGAAACUGCAGAGCUAGCGGAUGGUAGAGGGAAGUGGAAUUUCCGGUGUAGCGGUGAAAUGCGUAGAUAUCGGAAGGAACACCAGUGGCGAAGGCGACUUCCUGGGCCAAUACUGACGCUGAGGUGCGAAAGCGUGGGGAGCAAACAGGAUUAGAUACCCGGGUAGUCC